rnacentral:rRNA from 1 species
AGACGAACCGUCCAAACGUUAUUCGGAAUUACUGGGCUUAAAGGGUGCGUAGGCGGCGCGGUCAGUCGGAUGUGAAAUCGUACAGCUCAACUGUACAACUGCGUCCGAAACUACCGUGCUUGAGGAAGGCAGAGGUGAGCGGAACUCAGGGUGGAGCGGUGAAAUGCGUUGAUAUCCUGGGGAACACCGGUGGCGAAGGCGGCUCACUGGGCCUUUUCUGACGCUGAGGCACGAAAGCUAGGGUAGCGAACAGGAUUAGAAACCCUGGUAGUCC